rnacentral:rRNA from 1 species
UAUAAUAGCAGAGAGGAUACACCUGUUCCCAUUCCGAACACAGAAGUUAAGCUCUCUAGCGCUGAUGGUACUUGGUGGGAAACCGCCUGGGAGAGUAGGA